rnacentral:rRNA from 1 species
UACGUAGGGUCCAAGCGUUAUCCGGAAUCACUGGGCGUAAAGCGUGCGUAGGUGGCGUGUUAAGUGUGAUGUUAAAUCGUGUGGCUCAACCAUAUCGAUGUGUCGCAUACUGGCAUGCUAGAGGACAGCAGAGGCAAGUGGAAUUAGUAGUGUAGCAGUGAAAUGCGUAGAUAUCAGGCAGAACACCUGGGGCGAAGGCGGCCAGCUGGGCCGUCCCUGACGCUGAGGCGCGACAGCGUGGGGAGCAAGCAGG